AUUGAACGCUGGCGGCAUGCCUUACACAUGCAAGUCGAACGGUAACAGGGAGCUUGCUCCGCUGACGAGUGGCGAACGGGUGAGUAAUGUAUCGGAACGUACCUUUUAGUGGGGGAUAACGUAGCGAAAGUUACGCUAAUACCGCAUAUUCUCUGAGGAGGAAAGCAGGGGACCUUCGGGCCUUGCGCUAAUAGAGCGGCUGAUAUCAGAUUAGCUAGUUGGUGAGGUAAAGGCUCACCAAGGCGACGAUCUGUAGCGGGUCUGAGAGGAUGAUCCGCCACACUGGAACUGAGACACGGUCCAGCCUCCUACGGGAGGCAGCAGUGGGGAAUUUUGGACAAUGGGGGCAACCCUGAUUCAGCCAUGCCGCGUGAGUGAAGAAGGCCUUCGGGUUGUAAAGCUCUUUCGGCCGGGAAAAAAUCGCAUGGGUUAAUACCCUGUGUGGAUGAUGGUACCGGAAUAAGAAGCACCGGCUAACUACGUGCCAGCCGCCGCCGUAA
rnacentral:rRNA from 1 species